rnacentral:tRNA from 1 species
GCCUGGAUAGCUCAAUGGUAGAGCUCCUGACUCGAGUUGUAGCCGGGGUCUCGGGUUCGAUUCCCGGUCCAGCCA